rnacentral:rRNA from 1 species
UUGCAUCGAUUGGAGAACGCAGCAAAAUGCGAUACCUGGUGUGAAUUGCAGAAUCCCGCGAACCAUCGAGUUUUUGAACGCAAGUUACACCGAAGGGCCUUUCCUCGGCCGAGGGCAGGUCUGCCUGGGGCGUCACGCCAAAAGACACUCCCAACCCAUCGAGGGGGAGGGAGGUGGUGUUUGGUCCCCCGUGCGCAGGGCGCGGUGGGCCGAAGUUUGGGGCUUGCCGGCAAAUCGUGUCGGGCACAGCACGUGGUGGGCGACACUCAGUUGUUCUCGGUGCAGCGCCCCGGCACGCGGCCGGCGCAUCGGCCCUAAGGACCCAUGGAGCACCGCAGCGCAUAGCCGCUCGGACCGCGACCCCAGGUCAGUCGGGACUACCCGCUGAGUUUAAGCAUAUCAUAAUCGGGAGGAAAU